rnacentral:rRNA from 1 species
ACGGGAGGCAGCAGUGAGGAAUAUUGGUCAAUGGGCGGAAGCCUGAACCAGCCAAGUCGCGUGAGGGAAGACGGCCCUACGGGUUGUAAACCUCUUCUGCGCGGGGGUAAAGUCGGGGACGGGUCCCCGAUUGCAAGUACCGCGCGAAAAAGGAUCGGCUAACUCCGUGCCAGCAGCCGCGGUAAUACGGAGGAUCCGAGUGUUAUCCGGAUUUAUUGGGUUUAAAGGGUGCGCAGGCGGGAUGUCAAGUCAGUGGUGAAAUGGUGCGGCUCAACCGUAGCAUUGCCGUUGAAACUGGCGUCCUUGAGUGCGAAUGAGGUACGCGGAACGUGUCAUGUAGCGGUGAAAUGCAUAGAUAUGACACAGAACACCGAUUGCGAAGGCAUCUCACGAAUCCGUCAUUGACGCUGAGGCACGAAAGCGUGGGGAUCAAACAGGAUUAGAUACCCUGGUA